GAGUGUAUCAGUAAAUCAAGUGGCUGCUCCAAGAGAGGACACUUGGGACAGGGAAGACCAAGCACUUUGGAGUCUACUCAGGAGCAUUGGAUUUCUAUGUGAUGAAUGCGGAGUCAGUUACUGAGAGCCUAUGGACAAAAUACUGAUCUGCCUCUGUCUACUCAAGAGCAGGAAUUGGGUUCAAAAUGAAUUGCACUGCCUCCAGAGGAGGGCUCCACGUAUAUGUCUUCAUGAACUUUAUCUCAGCUACCUUGUAGAUAGAACUCCUUCACUGGGCGUUAACUUCUGGGAAUAAACUGCUCUCAGCUGUAAAAUGAACCCUUAGCCCCUGUGUUCAUGAAAUGGAUUGAGUUCAUUGUGGCACUGAUUUACUGUAACUAGAUGCAAGAUUGAUGCAUCCAGGAGAAACCAUUCCAUGUAUCUCAUCUGUCUCUGGAACUGCCCCUUUAAUCUCUUUACUAGAUUUGAUUGCUCUCUAACAAACCAACAGACACCUCUAAAGCAGGACAAAAUGAAAUUUAGCAUUCAUAAAUUUCUCAGGGCCUUUUGUAAAAUCCCAGCCCAUGAUACCAGGACCUUCUUUCCUUGUUCUGAAGAUCUUGAUGCUGGACUCAGAUGUUUCAUCAGUCUCUAGCUGGGGUCUGCUUGCCACUGCAUCCAAAUCCCACAUCUUCCAGGGCAGAGAAGUUGCUGAGGAUGCUUCAGCACCUCAUAAGACAUGAACUUGCAUUUGUUUGCCAAAGGACAGCUGAUGUACUGGUGCUGUUGGUCCCACAGUGCCACAGUCAUAACUCUUCUUCUAUUGCAUAACAGAACUCCUCAUCAACACCUCAUGGCUGCGGGGUCAGGAUUUAAUUAAAACAUCAUAAAGGUAUCUUUGGGGAACUGGACACAAGAUUAUUCUGAAUGCAAUGCAGUAUUGCAGGAAAAAUGUGACUCUGUCUACUCGAGUGUAACCAGGGCACAAUUUAGGUGACAAAGAAAGAGCAGCCAAAACAUAUAGAAUCAAGUAGAUGAUAUAGAAUAAGCUUGUUUUCAUGAAAAUAUAUAUAAGAUGUGCUUAUUUCCAGUAUGCUUUUGUGAGCAGCAUUUACUUGAAUUCUACUAGAAAAUAAAAAGGUACUGCCAAAGUAAGAGUGCUGAAGCCUGGGAAGGGGAAGAAGCAAAAUCAGUGUGUCUACUUGAAAUCUUGUUUGAAACACAUUAAAAGGUCUCUGACAUCAGGAAAAGGUUGUAAAUGAAACUUCCAAAUAAUCCUAGGAAUACUUAAUGUCCAAUUUAAUUAAUUUCAUUUUGUUAUAAAAUACCAUAUUAUGAAGUGAGAAGGACAAGCUUUUACUACAUUUAUCACUGUGCCUUCACCUAGAAAAUUACAAGAACAGUGUUUAUGUCUGUCUCACUCCUGUUAAGUUGGGUAUGUGGUAUCUCCUACACCCCUGGUUUUGAGAUUUAGUCGUGAAAGGUUUGAUUCACCACCAAAUACCUUCCAUUUCAUUGUCAUAAUUGCACUGAUUUCAGCUGAAUAUUGUGAAGUUAUUUUGUGACGAUAGAGCAAGACAUGAUGAAGAGAUUCUGUCUCUUAAGAAUUAAAAUGAUCCAAUCAACAGAUUGACAACAAUGCCUUUG